UGGUACCUACGGGAGGCAGCAGUAGGGAAUCUUCCACAAUGGGCGAAAGCCUGAUGGAGCAACGCCGCGUGGGUGAAGAAGGUCUUCGGAUCGUAAAACCCUGUUGUUAGAGAAGAAAGUGCGUGAGAGUAACUGUUCACGUUUCGACGGUAUCUAACCAGAAAGCCACGGCUAACUACGUGCCAGCAGCCGCGGUAAUACGUAGGUGGCAAGCGUUAUCAGGAUUUAUUGGGCGUAAAGGGAACGCAGGCGGCCUUUUAAGUCUGAUGUGUAAGCCU
rnacentral:rRNA from 1 species